rnacentral:rRNA from 1 species
UACGGAGGGUGCGAGCGUUGUUCGGAAUCACUGGGCGUAAAGCGCGUGUAGGCGGCCCAUUAAGUCUGAUGUGAAAGCCCACGGCUCAACCGUGGAGGGUCAUUGGAAACUGGGGGACUUGAGUGCAGGAGAGAAGAGUGGAAUUCCACGUGUAGCGGUGAAAUGCGUAGAGAUGUGGAGGAACACCAGUGGCGAAGGCGACUCUUUGGCCUGUAACUGACGCUGAGGCGCGAAGGCGUGGGGAGCAAACAGG